UCUACACCAACACCAGUUCCAGAGUUGCCGCAGUCCUCAGGUACAGAGAGAUGUUCACUGGCGUCAUGCCCUAGGGGACUGUUUUUGGACAUGUUCUUGUCCUUUGCAUGAGUUCAGUUGUUCCUGACCACGUUCCGGUCACCUUUUGUUUUUUUUCCUUUCAUGUAUGUUCUGUCUAAAGUCCAAGUAACUUUAUUUGAUAUCAUGAGGCUGCUCAGUUCUUGUCCACUGUCCUGGGGGCAUCAGGAGAUGCUGUUCCCACUGCAGUGCCUCAGAAGUCCCCUGUGCCUCUUCCACAAGAGCUCAACAUUCUGCUUCCUGAGGCCAGAGACA